rnacentral:piRNA from 1 species
UCCAAUAAUGGGUAGUGAUGUUUCUUGGA